GACGAACGCUGGCGGCGGGCUUAACACAUGCAAGUCGAACGAAGUGGCGAACGGGUGAGUAACGCGUAAUCAACCUGCCCUUCAGAGGGGGACAACAGUAGGAGACGACUGCUAAUACCGCAUACUGCAGGAGGGGAUUGAGGCUGAGUAGCUGGUUGGCGGGGUAAAGGCCCACAAAGGCGACGAUAAGUAGCGGGUCUGAGAGGAUGACCAGCCACACUGGUACUGAGACACGGCCCAGACUCCUACGGGAGGCAGCAGUGGGGAAUGUUUGACAAGGGGCGCAAGCCUGAUCCAGCCAGGCCGCGUGUCUGAAGAAGGCCUUCGGGUUGUAAAGCUCUGUUGUAAGAGAAGCGGUAUCUUACCAGAAAGGGACGGCUAACUACGUGCCAGCAGCCGCGGUAAUAC
rnacentral:rRNA from 1 species